UAGCUCCUAGUUUGAACUAGUCCAUCCAUAGAUACAAGCAAACAUACCUUGUUUUAGCAUAUAUGAAUCCAGUUGAAUGAAAAUUUCAAACUCCAUUGCACUCAAUUUGUAAGGCACUGCUUCUGCAAAUACACUGAAGUGUAUCAAUUCUGAGGCAAAAUUGUCAUGUUGGUGCCUGUGUUGUAUAUUUUUUUUUUCAAUUAUUAGAAGCUGCAACUUAUAUAGAUAAAAAACCAUUGAAAUUUAGAGUUGAUAUUUGGAUUCGAUGUUGCACAUGGAUAGUGGUUUGUAUGGCUUAUAUGUGUGUUUUGAUCUGCUUUGUUU
rnacentral:lncRNA from 1 species